rnacentral:tRNA from 1 species
GCCCGGGUGGUGGAACUGGCAGACACGGGGGGCUUAAACCCCCCUUCCGCUCCGGUGGAGUGCGGGUUCGAGCCCCGCCCCGGGCA